CAGUACAGUACAGUACAGCACAGUACAGCACAGUACAGCACAGUACAAUACUGCACAGUACAGUACAGCACAGUACAGCACAGUACAGUACAGUACUGCACAGUACAGUACA
rnacentral:miRNA from 10 species